UGACAUACGAUGGUGCACUGUUGGGC
rnacentral:piRNA from 1 species